GACGUAGGGCGCGAGCGUUGUCCGGAUUUAUUGGGCGUAAAGAGCUCGUAGGCGGCUUGUUGCGUCGACUGUGAAACCCGCGGCUCAACCGUGUGGCUUGCAGUCGAUACGGGCAGGCGUAGAAUUCGGUAGGGGAGACUGGAAUUCCUGGUGUAGCGGUGAAAUGCGCAGAUAUCAGGAGGAACACCGGUGGCGAAGGCGGGUCUCUGGGCCGAUAUUGACGCUGGAGGAGCGAAAGCGUGGGGAGCGAACAGG
rnacentral:rRNA from 1 species